CUAAAAUUACAACUUUCUGCAAGAGUACAGAUGCAGUUGUAGUAAAAGAGUGUCGAACCACAGGGAGGCGUAGAUUAUUUAAUAAGAAUUGACAAGAUUAAUAAACUAAAUUUAAGAACUAAAGUGCGAAAACGGAGAAACUCGAGAGAAAAAGACAUUGCUCCUAACAACAUUCGGAUGAAUCACUAUUAUAUUGAUUUUAUAUUCACAUUCAUAAGCUAUUGAGAACAAUGAUCAAUUUUACACUCUAAAAGUACUGAACAUACUUAAAGAAUUAUAGUACUAAUGCUAGCUGAACACAUAGCCAAAAGUACCUACUCGUUAGACUAAUAUUCAUGCGGAAGCGCGGUAAAUAUUAGACUAACUUCUCAAAUCCAACAAAAAUUAUGGUUAGCUGAACACUUAACACAUAACACCUUCACAUCAAACUAAACUCCCACGGAAGCGUAGUAAGUAUUAAUUCAACUUCGAAGACUUUUUUACAUCAAUAUUCACUUGUACAUUUAUCUCUGAACAAGAUAAAAUUAACAAGUUCUUCAUCUAAGUUUUCAUCCAAUUUCCAAGUUAAAGAGACAUUAGAAAGAGGCAAUUAAUAUACUACAUUUGAUGCAUCAAACAUAGCAUAAAUAAAAUCCGAACCAUAGACGAAAACCAAAGCAAAUGAGUAAAUAUAUAAUCUCUACAAUAAAUUCAUCCUACUAGCGUUAGGAGCAAUGAAGACAAAUUAGCCACACAUGCUAAAGAAGAAAAACCGUAGAGUUAAUGGUGUUCUUCGAUGGCCGGUGAUAGUCCUUCUCCGAGGUGAUGAAGAUUGGAUGUGGAAUCCUCCUUUCUUCCUUCUUUUUUCCUCUCCAAUUUCGUCCCUCCAAAAAAACGUCACACCCCUGACACCUCAACCCCAUCUAAUUAAUUCUGCCACGCCCCACAUCACUCUCUCUCUCCCACCUUUUUCUCUCUCCCACAACUGCCUUUUUUCUCCCUGACACCUUUUUUCUUCCUUUUCACUAUUUUCUUCCAUCAUUAAUGCUCCCAUCAACUGUCGAGAGAACGGCCAAAUUGCGGUUGACGCUCCGAAACGCCCGACCGGGCGAAAUCAAAAGAUAGAAACGCCCGACCGGGCGAACUCUCUGGACUCCUCAUGCGUAACUGAAAACGCCCGACCGGGCAAAGUCUCUGGAUUCCGAAAGCCUUCUCAGCUGUGCAUUUCCGACGAAUUUCCAGCUUCUAACUCCCAAAACUACACUCAAAGCACGACUUGGUGAGUUAUAAUUAACAUAGAAAUGUUUAGUCUACGGGGGAAAAGUAUAGGAAAUAUGCUUCGCAUCAGCUAUCCCAGAACAUGCCUUGAUAGAGUCUUGGAAAAAGUCUGCCCAUAAUUUGUGGGUCAAUAGGUUGCGACGAGUCUCCAAUUUAAGAGAGUUUCUGCAGGUCCUGGCUGACUUUGUAAAUGCUAUCAUUGAGGACUGGUUUUAUCAAACCAGUGCUACAGAUUCCCAUAACUCAGAUGACAUAAUUUGUAACUUUUCAGCCGUGCCGCACACAUUUUCUGCAAUUGCACGUUGGUUGGUAAGAUUGGAUUUAUUGGUGGCCUCUCGGUCACAUGUGGAAACCGGUCAUUCUGUGGAUAAAUCACUAACUGCUAACUGAGUGAAAGAACUGUUGACAAUGCAACCCGACAGUGAAGGUCGGAGGUCUCUCAGUCCAUAUUUUGACUAGCAGAUCUUUUGCUAAUUUGGAAUAUGGGCAUUACAUUCCUCGAGAACGUUAGCCCUAGCAUGAUGAGUUCCAUCUGCACCAGGUUGAAGAAGCUGCAGCCAUUCUUCUAUUCUGAAGAGAAACAGAAUGCCUUGUUUGGGGCUGAGGUUGGUUCUCAUAUUUUCCAUCUCUCCCUAAUGAGAAGAUGGUGGGAUCAUGUAGAUUUUACCCAAAUUUUGAGGAAACUUACUGCCUGUUGGUUUCACGGUGUUUUUAGUAUUCUCCAUUAUGCUGUUCCUGUUGGGAAAUAAACACAGGCAAUCACGAAUAUGAAAGAGAAUGAACACAAGAAGUUGUUUACCCAGUUCGAUA